UACGGGGGGGGGCAAGCGUUGUUCGGAAUUACUGGGCGUAAAGGGCUCGUAGGCGGCCAACUAAGUCAGACGUGAAAUCCCCAGGCUUAACCUGGGAACUGCGUCUGAUACUGGAUGGCUUGAAUUCGGGAGAGGGAUGCAGAAUUCCAGGUGUAGCGGUGAAAUGCGUAGAUAUCUGGAGGAACACCGAUGGCGAAGGCAGGUCUCUGGGCACUUACUGACGCUGAGGAGCGAAAGCGUGGGGAGCGAACAGG
rnacentral:rRNA from 1 species